GACGAACGCUGGCGGCGUGCCUAAUACAUGCAAGUCGAGCGGACCGAACAGGAGCUUGCUCUUGUUCGGCUAGCGGCGGACGGGUGAGUAACACGUGGGUAACCUGCCCGUAAGACCGGGAUAACUCCGGGAAACCGGAGCUAAUACCGGAUAACACCGAAGACCGCAUGGUCUUUGGUUGAAAGGCGGCUUCGGCUGCCACUUACGGAUGGGCCCGCGGCGCAUUAGCUAGUUGGUGAGGUAACGGCUCACCAAGGCGACGAUGCGUAGCCGGCCUGAGGGGGUGAACGGCCACACUGGGACUGAGACACGGCCCAGACUCCUACGGGAGGCAGCAGUAGGGAAUCUUCCGCGAUGGACGAAAGUCUGACGGAGCGACGCCGCGUGAGCGAAGAAGGUCUUCGGAUCGUAAAGCUCUGUUGUUAGGGAAGAAGAAGCGUCGUUCGAACAGGGCGGCGCGGUGACGGUACCUAACGAGAAAGCCCCGGCUAACUACGUG
rnacentral:rRNA from 1 species